rnacentral:rRNA from 1 species
GGUGUCGGCCUGAGGAGACGUGCGAAAGUUCGUUGACGCGUCAAACUUGUUCGGCGCGUCGGCGAGUGCGCGUUCUAUUUUCUGACUGACUCGCCAGACGGUAUGCAACGGUGGUCGCGGCGGCCUCUAGCGCCGCCGUCGAUACCUGUCUGCGACGAAUCUUCGAGUCUCUUUCCGACCCGUCUUGAAACACGGACCAAGGAGUCUAACAUGCGCGCGAGUCGCGGGGUAUCGAGCAGCCGGUGUUCGCAUCGGUUGCUCGUUAUAAUACGAAACCCGUCUCGUUUUACGAAAGGCGCAAUGAAAGUGAAUUUUGGGGAAGAUGACGUUACCGAGUUCACGUUCCAUAUUCUCGUAAUAUGGCCGGUCGUCCGCAUUCCCAGGGUGUCUCGAAGUUCGGUUCUACUGCGGACUGCCGUUCCUUCGGGGGCGGUAGUCGGGUUUAAUCGGGCUGAGGCGCACCUAUAGCGUGCAUGUUGGUACCCGAA